GUGGGUGCUGCUUUGGUGACCAGUGAGCUGAGAUAAGGGGGGACUUUACCUAGCAGGGUCUUGUAGAUGACCUGGAGCCAGUGGGUUUGGCGACGAGUAUGAAGCGAGGGCUAGCCAACGAGAGCAUACAGGUUGCCGUGGUGGGUAGUAUAUGGUGCUUUGGUGACAAAACGGAUGACACUGUGAUAGACUGCAUCCAGUUUGGUGAGUAGGGUAUUGGAGUCUAUUUUGUAAAUGACAUCGCCGAAGUCGAGGAUCGGUAGGAUGGUCAGUUUUACGAGGGUAUGUUUGGCAGCAUGAGUGAAGGAUGCUUUGUUGCGAAAUAGGAAGCCAAUUCUAGAUUUAACUUUGGAUUCGAGAUGUUUGAUGUGAGUCUGGAAGGAGAGCUUACAGUCUAACCAGACACCUAGGUAUUUGUAGUUGUCCACAUAUUCUAAGUCAGAACCGUCCAGAGUAGUGAUGCUGGAUGGGCGGGCAGGUGCGGGCAGCGAUCGGUUGAAGAGCAUGCAUUUAGUUUUACUUGUAUUUAAGAGCAGUUGGAGGCCAUGGAAGGAGAGUUGUAUGGCAUUGAAGCUUAUCUGGAGGGUUGUUAACAUAGUGUCCAAAGAAGGGACAGAAAUAUACAGAAUGGUGUCAUCUGCGUAGAGGUGGAUCAGAGACUCACCAGCAGCAAGAGCGACAUCAUUGAUGUAUACAGAGAAAAGAGUUGGCCCAAGAAUUGAACCCUGUGGCACCCCCAUAGAGACUACCAGAGGCCCGGACAACAGGCCAUCCGAUUUGACCAAUUGAACUCUAUCAGAGAAGUAGUUGGUGAACCAGGCGAGGCAAUCAUUUGAGAAACACUCACCACCAGGGGCUGAGUGUGUGGGCAUGUCUGAGGCUCGAGGUUAGUGAUCAUUUAGAAAUAAAACUACAGCUACAACCUGGUUUGUUGUUUGGGACAAGAUUAGGUGGAUUGGACGUUUUAAGACGUGACCAGCAGUUGGGUGCCAUUUGAGACGCAGAUCCUGUUUCUGGAGGCCCAACUGGUAGCCAGGCUCAGAUCCUGUUUCUGGAGGCCCAACGGGUAGCCAGGCUCAGAUCCUGUUUCUGGAGGCCCAACGGGUAGCCAGGCUCAGAUCCUGUUUCUGGAGGCCCAAUGGGUAGCCAGGCUCAGAUCAUGUUUCUGGAGGCCCAAUGGGUAGCCAGGCUCAGAUCCUGUUUUAGGAGGCCCAACGGGUAGCCAGGCUCAGAUCCUGUUUUAGGAGGCCCAACGGGUAGCCGGGCUCAGAUCCUGUUUCUGGAGGCCCAACUGGUAGCCAGGCUCAGAUCCUGAUUUUGGAGGCCCAACUGGUCGCCAGGCUCAGAUAUUUCACAGCUCUCUGUCUGUGAUUAACAUCAUGUUGACGCAAGUGCUGUGUAAAUAAAAACAUAAAACAUAUGUAUAAGACCUUUAGCGUUUCUCAUGUAGUUGUCCUAGGGAGUAUUGUCGGGAAAGAAUGAUGACCCAUUUCAGAAGCAGAUGUUUGAGGUCACCAUCAGACUCAGUCAACUCCUUUUCCCCCAUUGGUAGAGCUCCUGCAAUUGGAUGGUUGACCGAUAAAACGCUUGACUGUUUUUUCUUAAAAAUCCACAUACAGUGUACAUGGCCAUGUUUCCUGACUGUUGAAAGCCUACAGCACUGUCAGUCACAGGGGAUAAAACAGCUGCAUAGAUUAAAACAGAAUCCAAAUCUAACAAUGACUCAAUAAACCGCUCUUAGAGCCCCUCGAUCCAUUUUAGAUUCUGAGAAACGGUCCUUGAUCACUCUCAUCAGUGAGUGGUAUUACACCGCUGAGGCAGUCACACACAGCUUGUCUGGUUUCUCUCGUCAUUUCCUGAUUCAUCCAACCACUCCAUCCCUCCACCCCCAUCUUCAGCUGUUUAAACAGCAGAAAUUAUGUCUGUAAUUGUUUCAGUGUGUAGCCUGUUAUUUUAAUGUGCCAAGCUGGAUGACAAAAAAAUGAAUCAAUCAAUGAUUGCAGUAAACGGCAAGUAUUUUCUGACUACUUACAUUCUUAAAGUUUUACCACCUUUAGACUUACUUUUUGGAAUAGUUUGACUAAUUAUCAGGUGUUUCCAAUUUCUCCCCAGUGAUAUGAAAUGGAUAUCACCACAGUGAAGGAGACUGAGAGACAGGGCAUGGGUUGUCUUUUCACUGCGAGUGACCUGCAACUUUCUCGACAGAUUUGACAGAAAGCCUAGGCCUGGAUAAAUAUGUCUCCUCUAUGCUUGUGGGCCUUCUCUCUCUGUUUCUUAAUGCUCUACUACUUAUUCAAAUCAAAUCAAAUCAAAUUGUAUUUGUCACAUGCACCGAAUACAACAGGUGUAGACCUUACCGUGAAAUGCUUACUUCUUAACAUCAUUGUGAAAAGACCCCAUGCUGAGAUGCAUUUAUUUAUAGUGUGGAUGGCUGAGGUAACAGGUACCAGUAUUAGGACAGGGGACAAGGAGAACACAGUUAUGGUGUCCAUAUUAGGACAGUCACAGCAGGACUUGUCAGUCUUAUUGGCUGUAACCUCACACAAGGGUAAUUUAAAAACCAAAUGACAUGAUGAGGGGUUUUUGUUUGUCUUGUUAGUGAUUUUGGGCGACGACUUCACUUAUAUUUCUUGAAAAAAAAUGUUCUUCUUUUAACCGUUCAACUGUUGAAUAGUGAAAAAAUACCAAUCAUGGAAUUGUAGUUUUGAAUGUUCGUUACAAAACAUUUUACGGACAGUAAUGUUUUUUGGCUGAUUUAUAGUGUUCCUUUCCUCCAUCUGACAGAGCAUAGUUAGGCUACUGGGUGAUUCCUCACCAUAUGACAGAGCAUCAUUAGGUUACUGGGUGAUUCCUCACCAUCUAACAGAGCAUCAUUCUGUUACUGGGUGAUUCCUCAUCAUCUGACAGAGCAUCAUUAGGUUACUGGGUGAUUCCUCAUCAUUUGACAGAGCAUCAUUAGGUUACUGGGUGAUUCCUCAUCAUUUGACAGAGCAUCAUUAGGCUACUGGGUGAUUCCUCACCAUCUGACAGAGCAUCAUUAGGGUUGUUCCUUACAAAACUAGAGCAAAACAGGACCAGGAUUUUGGGAUUUUAAUUAAAUUAAAUCUAUAGAAGGGUCCUUUGGAGGAACUAUUGUUGACGUAUAUUUGACAUUUGUAUGUUAAAGCAUAAUUGAGACAUCAAUAAUUUCCUUUGGAAUAUUUGUGACCUUUUCCUUUAAUACUCCAUAAUGUUUCAUCUGUAGGUUCUAUAAAGUAAAAGUUGGUGUCAUGUGAAGCUUUACAGUGUGUACUGUAAAAUGCGUAGUAUUUUGAUUUCAAUAACAAUUUUCUUACUAAGGAUCUGACCCUUUUUUUCAAAUUUUGCCUGAAAUGACAUACACAAAUCUACUGCCUGUAGUUCAAGACCUGAAGCAAGGAUAUGCAUAUUCUUGAUACCAUUUAAAAGCAAACACUUUGAAGUUUCUGGAAAUGUGAAAUUAAUGUAGGACAAUACAACACAUUAGAUCUUGAUAAAGAUAAUAUUGUUCCAGCCCAGGUGCAAUUUAGAUUUUGACCGCUAUAUGGCAGCAGUGUAUGUGUAAAAUGUUAGACUGAUCCAAUGAACCAUUGCACAUCUGUUCAAAAUGUUGUAUCAAGACUGCCCACAUUUGCCUAAUUGGUUUAUUAAUACAUACAGCCUGACGGGAUACUCUCAAUUGUGAAUCUGUAAAAGUUUGUGAGGAUUUUAAGGGCCAAGACAAAUUUCUUCAGCCUCCUGAGGUUGAAGAGGCACUGUUGCGCCUUCUUCACCACAGUGUCUGAAUGGGUGGACCAUUUCAGAUCGUCAGUGAUGUGUACGCCGAGGAACUUGAAGCUUUACACCUUCUCCACUGCGGUCCCGUCGAUGUGGAUAGGGGCAUGCUCCUUCUGCUGUUUCCUGAAGUCCACGAUCAGCUCCUUUGUUUUGUUGACGUUGAGUGAGAGGUUAUUUUCCUGGCACCACUCUCCCAGGGCCCUCACAUCCUCCCUGUAGGCUACCUCGUCAUUGUUGUAAUCAGGGCUACUACUGUUGUGUCGUCUGCAAACUUGAUGAUUGAGUUGGAGGCGUGCGUGGCCACGCAGUCAUGGUUGAACAGGGAGUACAGGACGGGGCUGAGCAUGCACCCUUGUGGGGCCCCUGUGUUGAGGAUCAGCGAAGUGGAGGUGUUGUUUCAUACCUUCACCACCUGGGGGUGGCCCAUCAUGUAGUACAGGACCCAGUUGCACAGGGCGGUGUUCAGACCCUGGGCCCCGAGCUUAAUGAUGAGCCUGAAGGGUACUAUGGUGUUGAAUUCUGAGCUAUAGUCAAUGAAUAGCAUUUUUACAUAGGUAUCCCUCUUGUCCAGAUGGGAUAGGGCAGUGUGUAGUGCGAUGGCGACUGCAUCGUCUGUGGAUCUAUUGGAUAACACACAAAAAGCAAAACACAGCUUCGGAGCUAGAAGCAGAGCUGCCAUAUCUGUCCGCACCAUCUUACUACGUCACAUCUGUGCCGAUAUGUACACCAUGUCAUUGAUCUCUUUCUCACUCUGCUGUGGGUGCAUCAUAUGUGUCUUGUUAGCUCUCACUCAUAUGGCGAGGGGCUGAAGCUCAUUGGUUUUACUUGAAUUGCUAGGGGGCUGGCCCAUGUGGGGGAAAAUGUAGGGAAAAUGCGCCAGCACAGCUUCCAGAAAAACAGUGGCUUUCAAACUAGGGAUUUCGUGGCUGUUUGAGGAAAGACAUUAAUUCUGUUCAUAAAUUAUGCAGCCCAAAGCGGGAUGUUAAAAAAAGACUUAAUAGUUGCCAAAGUUAAUUUACGAAUAUUGAAAAUUGAAUGCAAUGUAACCAAUCGCAGCCCUGCUUUUAGUUCUAGCAUUGCACAUCCUGAAAAUCACCAGGGCGACCAUUUUGAAUCCAUUUUCACAUUCACUCUGUUAGUAAUGCUUAUACAUUGGAUCGUAACUCUACAAGUAGCAGAGAUCCCACUCUGAAACUUUGAUAUACCCGUAGAGUAUAUUAUGUUCAAAAUAUAUUGAAAUAUUUGCCUUUUAUAUACAUAUAUAUUCAACACUCAUGUUUAUGUUUUUCAAUAUUUAUAUAUUUAUGUAAGAAAUGUGUUAUUGAAAUCAAAAUACUACUCAUAUUACAGAGCAAGAGGUAAAGCUUCAAAUGACCCCAACUUUUGCUUUGUAGCACCUACAGAUGAAACAUUAUGGAGUCAGGAUGUUAAGGCCAAAAAGUCACAAAUAUUCAAACUGAAAACCAACAAUAAAUAAUUUCUCAAUUGUGCUUUAAAGCUAGAAUCCUUAGUUGCUACAUCCGGUUAGAUUUAUAAAUGAAUGAGCUAUACACAUUGAUUCUUGAAGAAUAUAAUUUUGAAAUGCUUCAUGAGCUUAGUUCAACUGUCGUACACCAUCAGAACCCAAUACACAAGCUUGUUUACUCCAAUGUUUGUAAACAAUUUAAAAGUAAACAAUCACUGUAUAGCCUCAAAACAUGGUUAAAACUAUACAUUUGAUAUCAUGGAUGGUUAGUCCUUGCAUCCAUAGCUGUCUAUGAAUUUGAGAGUCGUUCAAUUUCUCCAGGCCCAUCCCUAAGCUUUUUACAAAAACAGAGGCAAGGAGACCGCUUUGUUAUUGUUUUAAUAAAAUGUCAAAUAUAUGUCAACAAUCCUUCCUCUAAAGGACCCUUCUAUGGUCUUGUUUGGCUCUAGUUUGGUGAGGAAUCACCCUACUGGAGUAAUGAUGAAACGCACACCACCGCCAAAUAUAUGAACAUAACAUUUCUCUUCUUGAGGAUUUUAUUUUUAUUUUUUAUUUUUUUAUUGUUAUUUCUCUUGGAAGAAUGACUUCACAAAUCUUUCAGGACUUUCUCUCUCUCUCUCUCUAUGUUAAUGUUUCCAACACUCCGUUGUCUUGGCUGUAUUGUCAUUUUGAGUCUCUGUUUUUUGGGUCUUCCGUUCCCUUGACUUUUAAUGAAAACAAUUACAUUCUAUUUCUUCUUUUCCGAACAUCUAUUAACAGCUGCACGGUAACAUAUUAAAGAAGAGAAAGAGCGAGAAGAAGAAAAAACAAGUUGAAGUUGAAGAAAAAAAUAUGUGAAUGAUCACGAUGAUAGUGUUCACUGAGUCUGAAGCUAUUGGGUGAGAUUAAAUAUGAAUUGAUCCCUAUGCAGCUGCAGUCCCUGUGAAUGUUGAAAACUCUCCGGCUCUGAGUCAGUGCCCUUUAUUCACCAACACAAUAACAAAAUAAACAUGACACUUCAAGCCAAGGUUGAGUUUUUUCCCCCACCCUUUUUAAAUAUUUGGUAUAAUAACCAACCCAACUUCCCGAUGAAAACGUGCACCUUUUUGGUCAGAAAAAAACUGUAUGAAGAGUUCUAUCACCUAAGUCCUGUACUGUUUUUUAGGGUUGAAAAGGGACUGAAUACUCUCUCUCUCUCUCUCUCUCUCUCUCUCUCUCUCUCUGUCCACACAAGACGCAGUUCAUGAUCUGGGACCAUUUUACAAUAUAGGCUAUGCAAAGUGCUGUGGGGACUGUAGCUAGAAUAAACAAGGAAAAGGAAAGAUAUCUGUAACACUUUCUUGAUGCCUAGCAUCAUAAAAC
rnacentral:lncRNA from 1 species